ensembl:lncRNA
AGUUGGAGAAAUGUCUGUUCAGAUCUUUUGCCCAUUUUUUAAUUGGGUUGUUAGUUUUUUUGUUGCUGAGAUGUAGCAGUUGCUUCCAAGUCUUGGCUGUUGUGAAUAAUGUUGCAAUGACCAAAGGGCUAGAUGGGACUAGACUCUGCCUGUAGCUAGUCAACUCUCAGGAAACUUCCAGCAUCUGCUGGGGUUUCACUUUCUCCUGGGGACUGUCCCCUGAGUUGCCCCAACUGCUGACUGCCUUCAAUGCCUUUUUUGGUGGAAGGAGAAAUGGACAAACAUCUGUGAGUUGACGAACUCAUAUCUGGAAUAGGGUAAGUCACCUCAGAGUGCACUCCCGAGAACUUUCUUCCUUCUGUCUGGGUGCCCAAUUUGUCUUGGGUCCAUCUGUUCCUUGGGCCCAGGUGCCAUGUUUUAGAGGGAACAGUUGUAGGACUACCCAAAAUAUCUAGUGGACUAUUCUCUGUUAACUGGUAUGGGGGUGAUAUCUGUGCAGCAUGUGAGUAGGGGUGCUGUGCCAUCUGUGCCCAAGAAAGUUCCCCUGGGUUUCAUACUGACUUGAUGGGAAGAUUUUAGUUACGAACCAAUGACAAAGAAGAUCUUUUAGUGUAACACUGCUUGGCCUCAGUAUACUUUAGGUUCUGGGGAAAAAUGGCCAACUAAUGAAACAUUAAACUAUUACACCAUAUUGGAGCUUGAAAUAUUUUGCAAAAAGACAUAAAGAUGAUGAUAUCUGAUAUGUACAGCUUUCAUGUUAUUAUAUCAGUAUAAAAAAAGGAAGGGAAAGAUAAUUUAAUGGUAUAGAACCCCCUGUGUUACAGAAGGGAUGAAAGGAUGAUGAGAUGUAAUGAUUUUACAAACCCUGAAUGCACCAGUGACAGUCUGUGUGGCGCUCCCUCAUCCCCCAACCAGGGAAGAAUGCCUGACAUGGGACCUGGACUAGGAAAGGGGUUUUUCCCUUUCCAGACCAAAGAAGGGACACAAUUCGGCCAUGGGGCUUCUGUUGGAGUGGGGCAAUUUUCACUGUGAUGAUAUCCUGUAGGGGUAAAUGGCCAGGGCCAACUUGCAGGAUUUGUAUAAGUGCACAACCCCUCCUCCACCUCUGACAUGUUUAAUUGGAAGAACAAUAAUCUACACUAUAGGGAGGAUCCUCAAAGAAUUACUGAGUUAUUUUCCUCCAUUUUGCUACUUGCCAUCCUUCUUGGGCAAAUGUUCAUAUUUUCAUGAAUGUGUUCCUAACUGGAGAUUAAGAAAUGAUGGUAACUGAUAAAGCAAGAGAGGAAGCAAACAGGCUCCAUUUAGUGGAUCCCGCUGGUACCCUUGAGGCAAACACUGCAUUCCUAUGGCUGAGCCAGCAUGGGCUCCCAGAGAUGCUGCAGGGAGACUCAGACUAGAACAUUAUAAGAGGCGUAUUCUGGCCAGAUUAAAAAUGGGAGUGCUUAAGCAGAAAAGUUUAAAUAAGAUACAAGACAUUCAACAAAAACCUGAUGAAGACCUUCUAAAUUUCCAGAAAGAAUCUACCAAGCCUAUAGGCAUUACACAGACGCAGAUCCAGAAGACCCUAAGAACCUCAAGAUGAUGAAUAUGACUUUCAUAGGACAAAGUGCCCCAGACCUUACAAGGAAGCUAGAGAAACUGGAUGGGCAUUAGCAGGUCGACCUACCCAUCUGAUUUCGCUUUACAUUCUUACCAGCUGGAUGACAGAGUCCUGUUCAAAAGCUGGAAAGAACAAGGUCUUGAGCAUCAGCUGUCUGCUAAAUGGACAGGCUGCUUUCACCACCUGUUCUUCCAUGGAGCUCUCUGGAGUAAAACCGUGGAUACAUUGAAUCCAGAUAAAACAAGCUCUACCAGAAGAGACAACAGAGCAACCUGAGACCACCUCCUGAAAGUGCGAACACAUCAAGGAUUUAAGAUGUGUAUUCUGUAAAGUUCCUUAAUCUUUACACAAUACUUAGGACAAAUACAAGGAAUCAAGUAUGCUUUAACAUGUCCUCUAGCGCUCAAGAGACAAUUUGUUUCUGUUUUGCUAUUAAUGGUUAUGAGAUUGCCUCAUGUCAGUUAUAACUUCUGCCUCCAGAAACAUCUUCCCUUUCUGAUUGUUGGUUACUGAUCAUGGAGAAAAGUCACUAACUUUGAUCCCCUGACAGAUGGCCACAAUACCCACUUUAAUUCUAUGAGGCUAGUAUUUUUAUAUGAUAUAAACACCUAGACAUUAAUUUGGACUUUAUGGGGUACAUUUAUUAUAUAGGACAGACUUUAGGGAAAACUGCUUGGGAACUUCUCCCAGGGAAGGUUUUUGGUAGAGAUAUAAUCAGGACUAGAGCCACCAAGUAUCAGCAUUAUUAUGUUGCCAUUGGAAUCAAUGAUGAGUUGCUAAAAAAAAAAUACCAGGUUAUAACAGCAGUUACUUAGCCAAACCUUGUGUUUCCUGUCAUAGUGCCAUGUGUCCCCAUUCCCCUCAGCCAUGUUUUUGUGGAUGGGUACCAAAAACCAAAUCUUCUAAUAAGAAGGGAUGAUCACAUGCAGUAGGAGUAAAAUGGUGGACCACUGCUAACAAAGGACAAAAAGAGAUUUUAGGAUCAUUCGGGGCUAGAUUGAGUGUAUUGGGCCAAGUGGAAAUGGCAUUUGAUAAAAACUAUCACAGGCAAGAGAUGCAAUAUUUAAUGGCAUCAGGAAAAUUAGGUGGAUUAUUGUUUCAAGAAGAAGGAAAGGGUUGGGAAGCAGUCUGGAAGACCAACCAAGCUUUAGACAAAUGGAUAAGCAAAACUCAGGAAAUAAUGACAAAAUAUGCUGAGUCUCAACUGUGGGAAAAGGCAUGUGCCUCUACCCAGCAAAGCUUAAUAGACAUGCUUCUCUAAAUGGAAUCAGAAGUAGCAAUGAAACAAUGGCCCACUAUCUUAACAGCUGAGGCCCAAGAAACCCACUUAUGGGAAAAUAUGGGACACCAAACAUAUGGGAAAUAAUUGAAGGAAUUUUAAGUCUACACUGUUGUUCUCUGACUGCCUUAGUACUCAAAUUAAGAAAAGAUUUCAAACAUGAAGUAGUACAGCUUGUAGGAAUAGAUACCCUCCACAACAAUUACCAAAUACUUCCUAUGGGAAGUUUCUGGACCCUCUUUUCCUUGCAUAACUCAAUGGGAACCAAUUUCAGUUAUGAGUUGUAAAUAACGAAAUGGUUACAUUGGCUAUUCCAACAUAUGGCUAUGCCCACAACAGCAAUGGAACUCAGAGGUAAGUCUGACUUGGCCUGUGGUAAGAACUCUGGUUCAAGAUACAUUUGGUACAUGGAAAAAGGGAGAUUCUGUUGGGAAGGUGCCAUGAAUCAUACUGAUUCGUCCGUUUGAUCUGAUAAUCGUCCGUUUAUCAGAUCCUUAUCGUGACCAAACUGAGUUCAUAAUGAAUUUGUCUAAUAUCUGGUGUACUACAGAGGUUACAGGUAAAGUUCAUUUGCUGGAAACUAACAAAACCUGUGAUAACACUGAUGAAGAAGACUAUACCUAUCAGGAGUUAGAACUGAGACCCUCCACAAAGGUAAACUUAUAGAAGAUAAAUGGCCUAAGCAAAAUCUAAACUUAGCAUCUCAAGAAGUCCAGAGGUUCUUGAACAAGCUGGAGUAAUUGAACACCAGGCAGAGGUCACUGUUACAGAGAGGGGAAAGAGAAUCAUUCAGUUAAUCCAAAAAUAUGCAGAAGUUUGUUCUGGUUUCAUCAGAUGGCUCUCUUGUCUGAUUGGGUCUGCCUCUAGUAGUGAUAAAAUCUUAAAAGUUACCUUUUUUGCCUCCUUCUGAUAAUUUGUAUCCUUUUCUUACCCUGAGGUUGUGUUAACUGAUAAAAUGGAAAAAAAACUAAAGUCUCAAACAGUGUUAAUCAACACUGUUGCUCGAGAAUACUUUCAAAUCAAGUUUCGUCAGUUCCAUUCCUCUAUUCUCUAUGAUGCCCCUUGUCAGCAGGAAGUAGCCAGAUAGAAAUGAUAGCCAUAUAAGAUUAUAGAAUGGAUAACUGACAGUGAGAAAUUGAUACUGGCCUGAAGUAAGUUUGAUAUGAGGGAAGCUAUGUUGUAACUUAGAAUAACCUCUGACUAAACCACCCAAGCUGUAUGUUUUACCUUGCACUAGCCUAGGAGAUAAAUAGCUACCCUCUAGGAAAUAAUCCUGGCUGACAAAUGUACAGCCCAAUAGAUAUGGAUGAUAACUUUGUUAUUUUGAGUUUCUUAGGAACAUGGUGACCUCCUCAGAGAAGAACAUCUAUGCUGGCAUAUAUCAUCGAAGACAACUGAAAGACCUGUGGCAUCUCCAGUCACUGAUGCCAGAUAGUCAAUGUUCCUGAGCCCCUCCUUCAUAGCUCACUAGUCUCUAUACAACUGCCUCAAGAUUAUAUGCUUGUUUAAGAUGGUCUUUGGGACAUGAGCCUACCGUCUUCUGAUUUUGCUGGCUAAUCAAAUUAAUUCCUUUCUCAACCACUGACUCAUUUGUAGUUGAUUGCCUUCAGGGUUGUGGCAAGCAGAAUGAGCCCUUGCUUGGUUACAGAAUUUGUCUGACUUCCAAAUGUUUGGGAAUAAGAUAACUGGAGAGUCUGAUCAGCACCUGCCAAGGGUGUCAUUGCUGAAGACUGGUCCUGUGCAGUUCAGAUCCUUAGCUGUGUGUCCCACACAUGCUCACUUGUUGUUUCCAAGCUCAGAAAUUGUGCUAGGUUGGCUGGGUCAAAGUGAAGGUUAUGUUGGUAGCACUGUCUCAUGCUACCCUAGAUCUAGCCUCUGAGCUUCAGGGCCCUCUAUUGUGCCCAGGCCAUUAGAUACCUCCUGCCUUGUGGUGAGAUCUCUUUGGUGCCCCGCAUAUCCUUUCCUCUCAGCAGACCUAAAGGGCCAGGAGCAACUGGUCCAGCCAAGGUGCUGGGAAUUAGAAUCUGGGAAUAAGUUCAGGGCUGGGAUCUCAGAAGACUCCUGGGCUGCUAUUGAAAACUCAUCCUCUCCUUCCAGGAGAUUUGCCUCCCAGGGAGUGGUAGCUUUUGCUAAAGUCUGGAUGUAAGAGUAUCCUCUGUGGUCUGACUGCUUGACUUUGAAUCCUGGCUUUACCAUUUCUAAGCUGAGUAAUCUUGUGCAAUUUGCUUAAUCUGUUUAAGAUUCAAUUUGCUCAUCUGUGAAAGAGGGUUUAUUAGAGUACCUUCCCCUUAGGAUCCCCAAGAGGAUUAAAUGAGGUAAUCCAUGUGAAGUAUAUAGUGUAGUUCCUGGCAUGAAAAUACUCAAUAAAAGUUAGCUGCAAAAUUAUUAUGCUACAUAAAACCCAAUAGGUCCUAUUACACCAAAAUGGAAGUUUUGGUACAAGGGGACUGUUUCUUCAUUGUGUGGAGAAAUGGCUGGAAACUUAUUUCUUGUUUAAAAAAAUCUGUCUUAACGUCAUUGAUUAGUAAGUUUAAACUGUUUGUCCCCAACUUUAUUUGCUGUAUUUACUCUUUGGUGAAUUGUCAGUUAAUACUUUUCUUGUUUUCUGCAUUCUUUGUAUUUUUUUAGCUAAACUUUUUAUUUUGAGAUAACUGCAUAUUCUUAUGCAGUAAUAAGAAAUAAUACAGAGAGAUUCCAUGUAACCUUUCCCUCAGUUUCCUGAGCAUCUCUGUGUGUGUAUUUAUUUAUUUUUCCAGUCUCUUUCUCUCUCUGGUUCAAAUUGGAUCAUUUCUAUUGUCCUAUCUUCAAAGUCACUAAUUCUUUCUUCUGUCCUCUACAUUCUGUGGUUGAG